UACAGAGGUCUCAAGCGUUGUUCGGAAUCACUGGGCGUAAAGGGCGCGUAGGCGGCGUGGUAAGUCAGAUGUGAAAGCCCAGGGCUCAACCCUGGAACUGCAUCCGAUACUGCCAUGCUAGAGAACUGAAGAGGAGUGUAGAAUUCUCGGUGUAGCAGUGAAAUGCGUAGAUAUCGAGAGGAAUACCAACGGCGAAGGCAGCGCUCUGGGCAGUUUCUGACACUGAGGCACGAAGGCUAGGGGAGCAAACGGG
rnacentral:rRNA from 1 species